rnacentral:rRNA from 1 species
UACGAAGGGGGCUAGCGUUGUUCGGAAUUACUGGGCGUAAAGCGCGCGCAGGCGGUCUUCCAAGUCAGUGGUGAAAGCCCGGAGCUCAACUCCGGAACUGCCAUUGAAACUGUUAGACUUGAGGAUGAGAGAGGUGAGUGGAAUUCCCAGUGUAGAGGUGAAAUUCGUAGAUAUUAGGAAGAACACCGGUGGCGAAGGCGGCCCACUGGAUCGGUACUGACGCUGAGGUGCGAAAGCGUGGGGAGCAAACAGG